rnacentral:rRNA from 1 species
AUUGAACGCUGGCGGCAGGCCUAACACAUGCAAGUCGAGCGGAUGAAGGGAGCUUGCUCCUGGAUUCAGCUGCGGACGGGUGAGUAAGGCCUAGGAAUCUGCCUGGUAGUUGGGGAUAACGUCCGGAAACGGGCGCUAAUACCGCAUACGUCCUGAGGGAGAAAGUGGGGGAUCUUCGGACCUCACGCUAUCAGAUGAGCCUAGGUCGGAUUAGCUAGUUGGUGGGGUAAAGGCCUACCAAGGCGACGAUCCGUAGCUGGUCUGAGAGGAUGAUCAGUCACACUGGAACUGAGACACGGUCCAGACUCCUACGGGAGGCAGCAGUGGGGAAUAUUGGACAAUGGGCGAAAGCCUGAUCCAGCCAUGCCGCGUGUGUGAAGAAGGUCUUCGGAUUGUAAAGCACUUUAAGUUGGGAGGAAGGGCAGUAAGUUAAUACCUUGCUGUUUUGACGUUACCAACAGAAUAAGCACCGGCUAACUUCGUG